CGGGUUGGUGUAACUUCAGCACUGGCUAUAUGGGCUAAGAACGCAUUUAACGGAGUACCUUCGAGCGAUUGCGAAAUCAUCGUCUAUGGCUCAAUGCUUCAAAGUGAGGACUGCUCGAUAUCACAUCGAUUCUUAUGCGAGGCCGAUAUGGAGGUAUCCACAACUGCAGUCACCGAAGCCAUGACCACUUACCAAAUGUCGAGCACUUCAUCAACAUUGAUUGCCCCGACGACUGCAGUGGCUGUAGUUACAACAGAACCUCUUACCACUACGAGCCAAUAUACUACCACAUCAUCCACCACACCGGCAACAUCUGGGACUACGAUAUCAACUUCCACUAAUCCUACAACAAUCUUUAGCACCUCCCCCAGUUCAUCAACAUUGAUUGCCCCGACGACUGCAAUCGCUGUGGUUACAACAGAACCUCAUACCACUACACGCCAAUAUACUACCACAUCAUCUACCACACCGGCAACAUCUGUGACCACUACAUCAACUUCCACUGA